CUAAUACAUGCAUGUUGAACGGGAUGUAGCAAUACAUUCAGUAGCGAAUGGGUGAGUAACACGUACCUAACCUACCUUUAAGACUGGGAUAACUAUUGGAAACAAUAGCUAAUACCGGAUAUAGUUAUUUAUCGCAUGAUGAGUAAUAGAAAGGAGCUUCACAGCUUCACUUAAAAAUGGGGGUGCGGAACAUUAGUUAGUUGGUAGGGUAAUGGCCUACCAAGACGAUGAUGUUUAGCCGGGCCGAGAGGCUGUACGGCCACACUGGGACUGAGAUACGGCCCAGACUCCUACGGGAGGCAGCAGUAAGGAAUUUUCCACAAUGAGCGAAAGCUUGAUGGAGCGACACAGCGUGCAGGAUGAAGUUCUUCGGAAUGUAAACUGCUGUUAUAAGGGAAGAAAAAAUAGAAUAGGAAAUGAUUUUAUCUUGACGGUACCUUAUUAGAAAGCGACGGCAAACUAUGUGCCAGCAGCCGCGGUAAUACAUAGGUCGCAAGCGUUAUCCGGAAUUAUUGGGCGUAAAGCGUCCGUAGGUUUUUUGCUAAGUCUGGAGUUAAAUGCUGAAGCUCAACUUCAGUCCGCUUUGGAUACUGGCAAAAUAGAAUUAUAAAGAGGUUAGCGGAAUUCCUAGUGAAGCGGUGGAAUGCGUAGAUAUUAAGAAGAACACCAAUAGGCGAAGGCAGCUAACUGGUUAUAUAUUGACACUAAGGGACGAAAGCGUGGGGGAGCAAACAGGAUUAGAUACCCUGGUAGUCCACGCCGUAAACGAUGAUCAUUAGUUGGUGGAAUAAUUUCACUAACGCAGCUAACGCGUUAAAUGAUCCGCCUGAGUAGUAUGCUCGCAAGAGUGAAACUUAAAGGAAUUGACGGGAACCCGCACAAGCGGUGGAGCAUGUGGUUUAAUUUGAAGAUACGCGUAGAACCUUACCCACUCUUGACAUCUUCUGCAAAGCUAUAGAGAUAUAGUGGAGGUUAACAGAAUGACAGAUGGUGCAUGGUUGUCGUCAGCUCGUGUCGUGAGAUGUUAGGUUAAGUCCUGCAACGAGCGCAACCCUUUUCUUUAGUUACUAAUAUUAAGUUAAGGACUCUAGAGAUACUGCCUGGGUAACCAGGAGGAAGGUGGGGACGACGUCAAAUCAUCAUGCCUCUUACGAGUGGGGCAACACACGUGCUACAAUGGUCGGUACAAAGAGAAGCAAUAUGGUGACAUGGAGCAAAUCUCAAAAAACCGAUCUCAGUUCGGAUUGAAGUCUGCAACUCGACUUCAUGAAGUCGGAAUCGCUAGUAAUCGUAGAUCAGCUACGCUACGGUGAAUACGUUUCUCGGGUUUUGUACACACCGCCCGUCACACCAUGGGAGUUGGUAAUGCCCAAAGUCGGUGAGUAACUUCGGAGACCAUUGCCUAAG
rnacentral:rRNA from 1 species